UACAAUUUUAUCUCUGGACCU
rnacentral:miRNA from 1 species